ACGAACGCUGGCGGCAUGCCUAACACAUGCAAGUCGAACGAGACCUUCGGGUCUAGUGGCGCACGGGUGCGUAACACGUGGGAAUCUGCCCUUGGGUUCGGAAUAACAGUUGGAAACGACUGCUAAUACCGGAUGAUGACGUAAGUCCAAAGAUUUAUCGCCCAAGGAUGAGCCCGCGUCGGAUUAGCUAGUUGGUGGGGUAAAGGCCUACCAAGGCUACGAUCCGUAACCGGCCUGAGAGGGCGGUCGGUCACACUGACACUGACAUACGGGUCAGACUCCUACGGGAGGCAGCAGUCGGGAAUUUUGGGCAAUGGGCGAAAGCCUGACCCAGCAACGCCGCGUGAAGGAUGAAAUCCCUCGGGAUGUAAACUUCGCAAGAAUGGGAAGAAUAAGUAGGGGACAAUACCCCCUAUGAUGACGGUACCGUUUGUAAGCUCCGGCUAACUCCGUGCCAGCCGCCGCGGUAAU
rnacentral:rRNA from 1 species